GGGUGGGAAUAACUAGUCGAAAGAUUAGCUAAUACCGCAUAAUGCAGUUUCUUAGUGGAAUCUAGUUAAAGCAGUAAUGUGCCUAAUGAUGAGCCUGCGUCUGAUUAGCUUGUUGGUAAGUAAUGGCUUACCAAGGCUUCUAUCAGUAGCUGGUCUGAGAGGACGGCCAGCCACAAUGGCACUGAAACACGGGCCAUACUCCUACGGGAGGCAGCAGUGGGGAAUUUUGCGCAAUGAGCGAAAGCUUGACGCAGCAACGCCGCGUGAAGGAUGAAAUCCUUCGGGAUGUAAACUUCGUAAGUAUGGGAAGAAAAAAAUGACGGUACCAUAUGUAAGCCCCGGCUAACUCCGUG
rnacentral:rRNA from 1 species